UACGUAGGGUGCGAGCGUUAAUCGGAAUUACUGGGCGUAAAGCGUGCGCAGGCGGUUUUGUAAGCCAGAUGUGAAAUCCCCGGGCUUAACCUGGGAAUGGCCUUCAAGACUGUCGAGCUAGAGGACGAGAGAGGUGAGUGGAAUUCCCAGUGUAGAGGUGAAAUUCGUAGAUAUUGGGAAGAACACCGGUGGCGAAGGCGGCUCACUGGCUCGUUUCUGACGCUGAGGCGCGAAAGCGUGGGGAGCAAACAGG
rnacentral:rRNA from 1 species